GCCCCCUUAGCUCAGCCUGGCCAGAGCACCGCUCUUGUAAAGCGGGGGUCGUCGGUUCGAAUCCGACAGGGGGCC
rnacentral:tRNA from 1 species